rnacentral:lncRNA from 1 species
AUUGGUAAUCUAAUCAUUUUUGCACCGAUCAAGAUAUUUAGUUUGUUUUAAUUACCCAGUAAAUAAGUUGAGUAAUUCUCAAAAAAUAAUUUGUACAUGCAUGUUUUAAUAUUUUUAUAUUAUAGCUUUUACCACAGUUUUACUUUGUAUAAGAAUUGUAUUGUUUUUGGAUGUCAUUUUUAAAAGUUGAGACAAACUGAGGAUUUCUUUUUUAUGGAAUUCUAUUAUUUAUUUAUAAGUUAAGGACUAGAAAGCCUUAAGUUUAUAUAUUAAACAAAGAAUAGUCACUAAAUGAUUACAAAAUUUAUUACAUGUAUCAAAAAAUUUACAUGAUUUUAUUUUAAUUCAUAAACUUUUAUACGUAAUUAUAUAGACUAAGAAAUUACAUUAGGAUUAUUUCCCCCUAUAAUAAAAACAACCAGGAAAAUAGAUAGUAUCCUCAGUACUGUCAUUUAUUUUGCAUUAUUGUAAUAUUUUGCUACUGAUACCAAACCCAUGAUGCAGAUCCUUUUCCUCCUUUUUAUUUAAAGAUAAUUUACAACCGUGAUCAAAAGCAUAUCACAAGUAACUGUUUGUUUGAUAUUUACACACAUCUUAAAAGAAGCAGAUUGUGUUUGGUUUCAUUUGGUUAUUUUGUAUCAUGUAGGAUCAUAAUAAUUGGUAAUUAAAAUUUAUUUGGAAAAUCAUCUUAUCUUAAUUGUAUCUGGAUGACAAGUAAAGGGGGAAGAGGUUUCUGUGGUCGAGGGUAUGACACAUGCAGAUGC